GGAAGUAAAAGUCUAACAAGGUUUCCGUAGGUGAACCUGCGGAAGGAUCAUUAUUGGAUUUUGAAACUUCAGGCUGCUGCUGGCUCUCCUCGGAGGGCAUGUGCACGCUUGUUGUCCAUUAUUUCUCCCACUGUGCACAAAUUGUAGACCUUUCAGUAGGCCUAUGUUGUUUUUCACAAUCUCUGAAUGUAAUAGAAUGGUUUUGAAUCUUGGGAAAUACAAUACAACUUUCAGCAACGGAUCUCUUGGCUCUC
rnacentral:misc_RNA from 1 species